CCCUUAGAUGUUCUGGGCCGCACGCGCGCUACACUGAUGCAUUCAACGAGCCUAUCCUUGACCGACAGGUCCGGGUAAUCUUUGAAUCUGCAUCGUGACGGGGAUAGAUUAUUGCAAUUAUUAAUCUUCAACGAGGAAUGCCUAGUAGGCGCAAGUCAUCAGCUUGCGUCGAUUACGUCCCUGCCCUUUGUACACACCGCCCGUCGCUCCUACCGAUUGGGUGUGCUGGUGAAAUGUUCGGAUCGGCCGUUUGUCGCGGUUUCCGCGGCUCGUGGCUGAGAAGUUCAUUAAACCCUCCCACCUAGGGGAAGGAGAAGUCGUAACA
rnacentral:rRNA from 1 species